UUGUCUUUCUCUUCCGUAUUUCCUCUCUUUCUUUUGCUCUUCAUGGCGUUCGAACUCUCAAAGACCUAGUUAACUUCCAUGACAUACUAAAUACUAUGCACAAAGGAUAUUGGUAUACAACAUCAGAGGAAAGCGAAACCAACAGAGCACUCCCACAAACUACAUAUGCGAUGGAUAGAGGGUAUAUUUACUUCAUACUGUUCUCUAUGGUUGAUGUGUAGUCG